UNUGACUUGAGUGCAGAAGGGGAGAGUGGAAUNCCAUGUGUAGCGGUGAAAUGCGUAGAUAUAUGGAGGAACACCAGUGGCGAAAGCGGCUCUCUGGUCUGUCACUGACGCUGAGGCUCGAAAGCGUGGGUAGCGAACAGGAUUAGAUACCCUGGUAGUNCACGCCGUAAACGAUGAGUGCUAGGUGUUAGGCCCUUUCCGGGGCUUAGUGCCGGAGCUAACGCAAUAAGCACUCCGCCUGGGGAGUACGACCGCAAGGUUGAAACUCAAAGGAAUUGACGGGGGCCCGCACAAGCGGUGGAGCAUGUGGUUUAGUUCGAAGCAACGCGAAGAACCUUACCAGGUCUUGACAUCCCGAUGCUAUUCUUAGAGAUAGGAAGUUACUUCGGUACAUCGGAGACAGGUGGUGCAUGGUUGUCGUCAGCUCGUGUCGUGAGAUGUUGGGUUAAGUCCCGCAACGAGCGCAACCCUUAUUGUUAGUUGCCAUCAUUAAGUUGGGCACUCUAGCGAGACUGCCGGUAAUAAACCGGAGGAAGGUGGGGAUGACGUCAAAUCAUCAUGCCCCUUAUGACCUGGGCUACACACGUGCUACAAUGGUCGGUACAACGAGUUGCGAGCCGGUGACGGCAAGCUAAUCUCUGAAAGCCGAUCUCAGUUCGGAUUGGAGGCUGCAACUCGCCUCCAUGAAGUCGGAAUCGCUAGUAAUCGCGGAUCAGCACGCCGCGGUGAAUACGUUCCCGGGCCUUGUACACACC
rnacentral:rRNA from 1 species